UACGUAGGGUCCGAGCGUUGUCCGGAAUUAUUGGGCGUAAAGGGCUCGUAGGCGGUCUGUUGCGUCGGGAGUGAAAACUUACAGCUUAACUGUGAGCGUGCUUUCGAUACGGGCAGACUUGAGGCAUUCAGGGGAGAACGGAAUUCCUGGUGUAGCGGUGAAAUGCGCAGAUAUCAGGAGGAACGCCGGUGGCGAAGGCGGGUCUCUGGGCCGAUACUGACGCUGAGGAGCGAAAGCGUGGGGAGCGAACAGG
rnacentral:rRNA from 1 species